rnacentral:rRNA from 1 species
CAAUAGCGUAUAUUAUAGUUGUUGCAGUUAAAAGCUCGUAGUUGGACUUCUGAUGUUGGGAUUCGGUCCACCGCAAGGUGAGCACUUGAUGUCCUGAUGUCUUCCUCUCGUAGUUGUUUGGCGCACUUGAUUGGGUGCCGAAUGAAUAUGGGACCUUUACUUUGAAAAAUUAGAGUGUUCAAAGCAGGCGAUCGCUUGAAUACAUUAGCAUGGAAUAAUAGAAUAGGACUUUGGUUCUAUUUUGUUGGUUUCUAGGACCGAAGUAAUGAUUAAUAGGGACAGUUGGGGCGAUUAUAUUUAAUUGUCAGAGGUGAAAUUACUUGGAGUUUAUUGAAAGAACUAACUAACUGCGAAAGACAUUUGUCCAA